rnacentral:snRNA from 1 species
UCUAGUUCGAAUCAAGUCACUGACAAACUUCGCAGACAGAGAAGAUUAGCAUGGCCCCUGCACUAAGGAUGACACGCUCAAUCAAAGAGAAGCUACCAAUUUUU